GAGCAAGCGGACCUCAUAAAGUAUGUCGUAGUCCGGAUUGGAGUCUGCAACUCGACUCCAUGAAGUCGGAAUCGCUAGUAAUCGUAGAUCAGAAUGCUACGGUGAAUACGUUCCCGGGCCUUGUACACACCGCCCGUCACACCAUGGGAGUGGGUUGCAAAAGAAGUAGGUAGCUUAACCUUCGGGAGGGCGCUUACCACUUUGUGAUUCAUGACUGGGGUGAAGUCGUAACAAGGUAGCCGUAGGGGAACCUGCGGCUGGAUCACCUCCUUACCUUAAAG
rnacentral:rRNA from 1 species